UACGAGUGCCUCAAGCGUUAUCCGGAAUUAUUGGGCGUAAAGGGUGUGUAGGUGGUCUUAUUAGUCUUCUGUUAAAUUCUUCGGCUUAACCGGGGGCUCGCAGGGGAAACGGUAAGACUAGAGGGUGCGAGGGGUGAAUGGAACUCAUGGAGUAGGGGUGAAAUCCGUUGAUAUCAUGGGGAACACCAAAAGCGAAGGCAAUUCACUGGCGCAUUCCUGACACUGAAACACGAAAGCGUGGGUAGCGAAUGGG
rnacentral:rRNA from 1 species